rnacentral:rRNA from 1 species
UACGGGGGGAGCAAGCGUUGUUCGGAUUUACUGGGCGUAAAGGGCCCGUAGGCGGCCACGACAAGUCACUUGUGAAAUCUCCGGGCUUAACUCGGAAAGGUCAAGUGAUACUGUCGGGCUAGAGUACAGAAGGGGCAACUGGAAUUCUCGGUGUAGCGGUGAAAUGCGUAGAUAUCGAGAGGAACACCUGCGGCGAAGGCGGGUUGCUGGGCUGACACUGACGCUGAGGCGCGAAAGCUAGGGGAGCGAACGGG